CAGCCGCCGCGGUAAUACGUAGGGUGCGAGCGUUAAUCGGAAUUACUGGGCGUAAAGCGUGCGCAGGCGGUUGUGUAAGACAGAUGUGAAAUCCCCGGGCUCAACCUGGGAACUGCAUUUGUGACUGGCAAGCUAGAGUGUGGCAGAGGGGGGUGGAAUUCCGCGUGUAGCAGUGAAAUGCGUAGAUAUGCGGAGGAACACCGAUGGCGAAGGCGGCCCCCUGGGCCAACACUGACGCUCAUGCACGAAAGCGUGGGGAGCAAACAGGAUUAGAGACCCCCGUAGUCCCUGUCUCUUAUAA
rnacentral:rRNA from 1 species